rnacentral:rRNA from 1 species
GAUGAACGCUGGCGGCGUGCCUAAUACAUGCAAGUCGAGCGAACGGACGAGAAGCUUGCUCCUCUGACGUUAGCGGCGGACGGGUGAGUAACACGUGGAUAACCUACCUAUAAGACUGGGAUAACUUCGGGAAACCGGAGCUAAUACCGGAUAAUAUUUUGAACCGCAUGGUUCAAUAGUGAAAGACGGUUUUGCUGUCACUUAUAGAUGGAUCCGCGCUGCAUUAGCUAGUUGGUAAGGUAACGGCUUACCAAGGCAACGAUGCGUAGCCGACCUGAGAGGGUGAUCGGCCACACUGGAACUGAGACACGGUCCAGACUCCUACGGGAGGCAGCAGUAGGGAAUCUUCCGCAAUGGGCGAAAGCCUGACGGAGCAACGCCGCGUGAGUGAUGAAGGUCUUCGGAUCGUAAAACUCUGUUAUUAGGGAAGAACAAAUGUGUAAGUAACUGUGCACAUCUUGACGGUACCUAAUCAGAAAGCCACGGCUAACUACGUG